UUCCACAGCUACUGGUAUACAGCUGUUCUCAUAUUGACGGUUUCAGCAUUCCUCUGUGGGAAAGAAACUGUUACAGGAUUAAACGCCUCUUUCCUAGCAAAACAGGAAACAGGCAUAUAUGUGACAAACACAA